ACACUCCCCGUCCGUCCCGUCCAAAACGUUCGGCAUAAAACACGUCUGAAGUCAACAUUAUGACAUUUAAGUAUUUUUUAAGCUAACAUUUGUUUUUUUCGGUGACGUGGACUCCUAUCGAUGACGUCAUUUUUGCCCUUAAUGGCCGCCGUCUCUCAUGUGAUAGGACAAGGACGUUUUUGGACAAAGUAUGGACAGAAUGAUCAGGCAGGAUGGAAUAUACACUGCUUGGGAACGGACGCUCCCCCUGCCUCUUGGAUCCACAAACAAGCAGCCUCUCCCCGCUCUUGUCAACACACACCAAUAACCAGGAGACGUCUUGUAUGUUAGUGGUUUUCCUGCCAUGCGACUGUGAGAGGACAGGGGAAGGAGAGAAGAAGAAAUCAAUAGGGAGCCAAAUUGGAGAAAUUCUUCCCAUUACUCUCCCUGUUUCCCAUUCCACACACCGCAUCACUGAUACAGCGGCUGCCGCUGCUCUGGUCCCGGCUCAUCCUCUUCAGACACACGCUCGCUGACAGGAGACAUCAAUUGAGUUUGAAUCCAUUGAAAAGCCACAACGAUGUGGUUCACACAGAGGUUUAUGUCUUCAGCUUGUCCGCACACGCUCAGCCGCAGCAGUUCAGCUCCAUCAAUCAGCCAGAACAAUUCUGAAGCUCAUCAAUUUCAAUCUGGAAAGAUUUCCAGCAUCAAAUCUAAUAUAUUAUGUGCGCUCGAUAAUGCAGAGACUCCAGCUUCGCAUUAACAUGGGCCUAAUGAUACUGAUGUGCUAUUCUCAAAUAUAGUGCAUACACACAAACAGUACAAAGGUAGGAAGUCAUCACCGAUUAAACCGACAAGGCUGCUGUUACACCGACCACCCUCUGCGGUCCAGGACAAGAUGUUUAAAUGUUUAAUAUGAGAGAGCAGGGUAAGAUUUAUCAGUAGAUAUGUUCUGGCUAAAGACUAGUCAUGAAUUAUUAAACAAAGCAUUUUCCCAAAACGGUGAGUGUGGGGUAAAGUGUGACAAGUGAUUUGGAGAAAGCUUGACUAAUGGUGAUAGUAAGCUUUUCUUUCAAAUACUAUUACACGUGUUAUUAUUCUAAGAAAUACUAUUAAAAAUGUCAAAACCUUUUGACUACAUUAAAAUAUUUAAAAAAUUGUUCCAGUGGAUUGAAAAAACUGAAUAUAUGCUGAAUGGAAAUGUAAAAUCACUCUGACAGAUGGCACAGCCAUUUAUAAACACUACAUUAUUAGGCAUUACACAGAGGUAAGAUGAAAAGAAAAUGUCACUGAAACUGAAGACACUUGGUUCCCAUUCAUUUACUCACUCAUUCACUAGCCAUUCAAUUUCUCUCAGAAUUAAGCUGUGAAAGGUUGUAAAACCUCUCACUGCCUUCUGCCAUGUUUUUCAAAUUACGCUAAUCAAAUACGGUUUGAAUGAGAAUUAAAAUAUGAAUUCGGGAAUUUUAUUGUGGUUUAUCGCCAAACUGGUAACCGUUUCAUCCCUGUUAGUUUUUAGUGGGCAGAAUGGUUUGCUUUUACUCUGUAAAAAAAAAAAAAACCUAUUUUAAAGCGAUAGUUCACCCAAAAAUGAAAAUUACCCCAUGAUUUACUCAUCCUCAAGCCAUCCUAAGUGUAUAUGACUUUCUUCUUUCUGACAAAUACAAUUAGAGUUAAUUAAAAAAAAAAUGUCCUGGCUCUUCCAAGCUUUAUAAUGGCAGUGAAGGGGUGUUGAGAUUUUGAAGUCCAGUAAAAUUCAUCCAUCCGUCAUCAAAUAUACUCCUCACGGCUUUGGGGGGUUAAUAAAGUCCUUCUGAAGUAAAUCAAUGUGUUUGUGUAAGAAAAAUAUCUAUAUUUACAACUUUAGAAGCUGUAUUCUCUAGCUUCCACUAACUACGUGCGUUCAUGAGAAAGUGGUGUUCCAGCCAAAAAUGUAGUAGGAUGUAAGCAUAGCGUAUGCA